rnacentral:tRNA from 1 species
CAGAGAAUAGUUUAAAUAAAAUAUUAAUUUUGGAGAUUAAUGAUGAACUAAUAAGUUUUUCUCUGA